rnacentral:rRNA from 1 species
AUGCUACCACGCUGCUGUUGGUUUCGCUAUCCGGGCGGGACCCUUUUUUAUUCAUCGCCUCCGCCGCGGCGUCGCGCCGUGUCUCCGGUAGCGCUCGGGGCUCGACUUCGCCCCGCCCCCGGAGCGGCCGCGAGGGGCGGCGCGGCCUCACCGUCGGCCUCACCAUCUUCGUCUUCACCGCCGCGGCGUCACGCCGUCUCUCUGAUAGCGGUCGCGGGCUCGACAUCGACAUGGCCCCGGAAUGGCCGUGAGGGACGGCGCGUCCUUGUCGUCGGCCUAGCCUUCUUCACCGCUACCGCAACUUCAGCCGUCAGUCCGCGCGCGCCGUGCACGGGGCCUCGUUUCGGUCAGCCGUGGCCAUCCACGCGCCGCUCGUGUUUGCCCCCUUCGUGCUGCGCCUUGCUUGGCCGAAACGCGCAUUAG